rnacentral:rRNA from 1 species
GGCCUACCAUGGUGGUAACGGGUAACGGGGUGUUAGGGCACGACACCGGAGAGGGAGCCUGAGAAACGGCUACCACAUCCAAGGAUGGCAGCAGGCGCGCAAAUUACCCAAUCCCGACACGGGGAGGUAGUGACAAUAAAUAACAAUACGGGGCUCUUUAGGGUCUCGUAAUUGGAAUGAGUACAAUUUAAAUCUCUUAACGAGGAACAAUUGGAGGGCAAGUCUGGUGCCAGCAGCCGCGGUAAUUCCAGCUCCAAUAGCGUAUAUUAAAGUUGUUGCAGUUAAAAAGCUCGUAGUUGAAUUUCGGGGUCAGCAGGUUGGUCGUGCCACUGGUAUGCACUGGUUUCGCUGAUUCCUCCUUUCUGAAGAACUGUAAUGCCAUUAAUUUGGUGUUGCAGGGAAACAGGACCGUUACUUUGAAAAAAUUAGAGUGUUUAAAGCAGGCUAACGCUUGAAUACAUUAGCAUGGAAUAAUGAAAUAGGACGUUUGAUCCUAUUUUGUUGGUUUCUAGGAUUGACGUAAUGAUUAAUAGGGAUAGUUGGGGGUAUUAGUAUUCAAUUGUCAGAGGUGAAAUUCUUGGAUUUAUUGAAGACUAACUACUGCGAAAGCAUUUGCCAAGGAUGUUUUCAUUAAUCAAGAACGAAAGUUAGGGGAUCGAAGACGAUCAGAUACCGUCGUAGUCUUAACCAUAAACUAUGCCGACUAGGGAUCGGAUGAUGUUAAUUUUUUAAUGACUCAUUCGGCGCCUUACG